CCUACGGGAGGCAGCAGUGAGGAAUAUUGGUCAAUGGGCGCAAGCCUGAACCAGCCAAGUCGCGUGAGGGAAGACUGCCCUAUGGGUUGUAAACCUCUUUUGUCAGGGAGCAACGCCGGCUACGUGUAGCCGGACUGAGAGUACCUGAAGAAAAAGCAUCGGCUAACUACGUGCCAGCAGCCGCGGUAAUACGGAGGAUGCGAGCGUUAUCCGGAUUUAUUGGGUUUAAAGGGUGCGUAGGCGGAAUGCCAAGUCAGCGGUAAAAGCGCGGGGCUCAACCUCGCUCCGCCGUUGAAACUGGCGUUCUUGAGUGGGCGAGAGGUAUGCGGAAUGCGUGGUGUAGCGGUGAAAUGCAUAGAUAUCACGCAGAACUCCGAUUGCGAAGGCAGCAUACCGGCGCCCAACUGACGCUGAAGCACGAAAGCGUGGGUAUCGAACAGGAUUAGAUACCCGAGUAGUC
rnacentral:rRNA from 1 species